rnacentral:lncRNA from 1 species
GACGUUUUUGUUGUUCAAGCUAUUCAUCUAGACGGGUCAAACCAGCUUAACAAGGAACAAAAAGGCGCAACAAAUUAGCUACAAUAAUUGGGAAUAACGUAGAAAAAUGAACUUUUGUAUCACAAAUAAGUAUUCUUUCCUUAUUUCACAAAACUAUGAAAUUUCUCCAUUAUGAAUAGCAGGAGAUAAUUGCAUAAAGAAUUUAAAUGAUGAAUGAAAAAAAUCGAGUAGCCAAAUAGAUAAAACAAUACAAUAAUAAUUGUACUAAUGGACCAAGUAUGUAAUCGCAAGUGCAACAAGUAGAAGAAUAUAAGCAAUCCCUUGAUCAAUCGCUGUGCCUGCAAUAAAAUUACCAAAUCAAUUUCUUCAUAUAUUAAAAUGUAAAAAAAACUUAGUGCACAAAAUAUUCUGUAUUUACACAAGGUCCAAAAAAGGAUUGCACCCGAACGGGUGCGAUGCAAGUAACAGUGGUUGAUUUUAUGCACAAACUCGUAACUUAUAGGUCAUACAAAAACAACUUAAUCCUUGCUUCAAAGUUCCCUUCUUCACAUUUGAAGUGUAUUUAUGAAAAAUCCAAGAAGAAGAGUGAUAGUUUAAGCUCUACAUACUAUUAAAUUAAAAAAAGUUAUUUGCCUACUUUUUUGAUUAUAUAUUAGUAUAAGAUUUAUUAUCAAUGCAGUUUAACCUGUUAUAUUACUGCUUACGGAUGUUAUAAGUUGUUGUUUGUAAUUACUUUUUGAGUAAAUUGAUAGCGUGAAAAUUAAUUAUCCUACGGUAAAUGAAGAUGUUUACCGUCAUUGGAAGGAGGUGGAGCUGAAGAAGGAGCCAUGCCUUGUCCAAAACUAUACUCAACCAAAGCCAACAACAAAAAACCAAUAAUAGAUGAGAGGCUCAUCAAUCUAACCGAAUUCAUCUUCAAAUUUAUUAGAAACAGAUUUAUAAUUUUCCCAGAAAGAAAAAGGUGGAAAUUUCUUAUAUUUAGAGAAGAGAAAGGGGAUUUUUGGAGUUUACAGAGAGAAGAUGGUUGUGAGAAAGAAGGUAUGUACAGAGUUUAUUAUAUACGAGUUUAAUUAUGUGUGUG